rnacentral:rRNA from 1 species
AACGAACGCUGGCGGCAUGCCUAACACAUGCAAGUCGAACGAGACCUUCGGGUCUAGUGGCGCACGGGUGCGUAACGCGUGGGAACCUGCCCUUAGGCUCGGAAUAACUCCCCGAAAGGGGUGCUAAUACCGGAUAAUGUCUUCGGACCAAAGAUUUAUCGCCUUUGGAUGGGCCCGCGUUGGAUUAGCUAGUUGGUAGGGUAAAAGCCUACCAAGGCGACGAUCCAUAGCUGGCCUGAGAGGAUGAUCAGCCACACUGGGACUGAGACACGGCCCAGACUCCUACGGGAGGCAGCAGUGGGGAAUAUUGGACAAUGGGCGAAAGCCUGAUCCAGCAAUGCCGCGUGAGUGAUGAAGGCCUUAGGGUUGUAAAGCUCUUUUACCCGGGAUGAUAAUGACAGUACCGGGAGAAUAAGCUCCGGCUAACUCCGUG